rnacentral:rRNA from 1 species
GUAGUAGCAAAUACUCUAGCGAGACCCUGGAGGACUGAUGCGGAGAAGGGUUUCGUGUGAACAGCCGUUGCACACGAGUCAGUCGAUCCUAAGCCCUAGGGGAGACCCGAUGUAUGCGGCCGUCGGCCGCUUCGGGCGAAAGGGAAUCCGGUCCCUAUUCCGGAACCCGGUCGCGGAACCGUCUCACGUCGGGCCCCGCCUUCGGGCGUCAGCUCGUCGGGGUAACCCAACCAGACCCGGAGAAGCCGUCGGGAUGUCGGGGAAGAGUUUUCUUUUCUGUUUGAGCGUUCGGGUUCCCUGGAAUUGUCUAGCACAGAGAGAGGGAAUGGAGCGCGUAGAGCACCGCAGUUGCGGCGGUGUCCCGACAUGCCCUUCGGACCGUGAAAAUCCGGGGACGGGCCACGUGGAGGUGUCGCGCCGGUUCGUACCCAUAUCCGCAGCAGGUCUCCAAGGUGAAAAGCCUCUAGUCGAUAGAAUAAUGUGGAUAAGGGAAGUCGGCAAAUUGGAUCCGUAACUUCGGGAUAAGGAU